UACGUAGGUGGCAAGCGUUGUCCGGAUUUACUGGGCGUAAAGAGCGCGCAGGCGGUCGAUUAAGUCGAGUGUGAAAGCCCCCGGCUCAACUGGGGAGGGUCACUUGAUACUGGUCGACUCGAAGGCAGGAGAGGGAAGUGGAAUUCCCGGUGUAGUGGUGAAAUGCGUAGAUAUCGGGAGGAACACCAGUGGCGAAGGCGACUUCCUGGCCUGUUCUUGACGCUGAGGCGCGAAAGCUGGGGGAGCAAACGGG
rnacentral:rRNA from 1 species